CCUACGGGAGGCUGCAGUGGGGAAUAUUGCGCAAUGGGCGAAAGCCUGACGCAGCGACGCCGCGUGAGGGAUGAAGGUCUUCGGAUCGUAAACCUCUGUCAGCAGGGAAGAACGGUCACUGUGCUAAUCAGCAGUGAAUUGACGGUACCUGCAAAGGAAGCCACGGCUAACUACGUGCCAGCAGCCGCGGUAAUACGUAGGUGGCAAGCGUUGUCCGGAUUUACUGGGUGUAAAGGGCGUGUAGCCGGGCUGACAAGUCAGAUGUGAAAUCCGGGGGCUCAACCCCCGAACUGCAUUUGAAACUGUUGGUCUUGAGUAUCGGAGAGGCAGGCGGAAUUCCUAGUGUAGCGGUGAAAUGCGUAGAUAUUAGGAGGAACACCAGUGGCGAAGGCGGCCUGCUGGACGACAACUGACGGUGAGGCGCGAAAGCGUGGGGAGCAAACAGGAUUAGAUACCCCGGUAGUC
rnacentral:rRNA from 1 species